CAACUCCUCGGCGCCCCCACCCACCAGGCACCAGCCCCCGGAACCGCCGCCGCCGUCACCUGUAACCUCGCGCGCGCACCCUGCGAGCCGGGAUCUGUCCGCCCUAGCAUCCACCCAUCGCCUCCGCCCGCUGCUCCCCGUCGACCUCCGCGCGUUGCCACCCCACCUUCUCGGCCAUCCCCUCCGUGCGCCGCCGCCCCACCUCACCUUCCCCGAGCAACGCCGCUGCCCUCCCUACCUUCCCCGUGUGAUUCCGCCGCCCUACCCGGCCCCCAACCGGCGCUGCAACCCCGGCGCCGCCUGGCCCCCACCCGCCCCAACUGGCGAGGCCGCCGUCGCCUUGCCCCAACCGGCACCGCCGCCGCAGCCCCUCCCCAACCUUGCGCAUCGCCAACGGCCGCACCACAUCUCCAAUGUCGGAGGACAGCACACUCCUUCACCUCCUCCGUCGACGGACGCCACCGACCACCGGCUCUCACAGCGCCUCACUCCUGCGGCAUGUCUCCAGGAGGGGUCAUCGGAGUCCUUAAUCACUUGCACUACUUUCUUUUAGCAUCUUGUCCAUGGAGUCAAGGCGCUGUGUGGUGUGCAAUCUCGUUUCUGGAUGGGGCACAGAAAUCUCGCUUUUUGCUCCUGUAGCAGAAAUCUCGCUUCCCUGCUGCUGUUAUGACCAUGUAUUGUUUCAAAAUGACCUUUUGUCUGAAGUUCGGUAGUAUCUGUUGGUGCAAAAAAGGUGCUUCGGUUUCAUGGGUCCUUCAAAAAUGAAUGGGAAAAGGAGUUUUCUUCUCCAAAAUGCAUCACUGCUCUGAAGUGCUAAUUCUUCUUGUGUGCUUCUAUCGAGGCUUGUGUUUCAUGGAGAGAGAGACAUAGAAAUUGUGGAAGUCAUUAAUGUUUCCUUUCUGUGUAUGUACUUCAGAAACAUUUUGUGUGAGAUAAAAAGGGUAAUGACACAUUUUUUGAGAGAUA